GACGAACGUUGGCGGCGUGCUUAAUACAUGCAAGUCAACUGAAGCAGUGGUAGCAAUAUCGCUGUGGAGGUGGCGCACGGGUGAGUAACACGUAGGUAAUCUGCCUUCAGGUCUGGCAUAACUCCGGGAAACCGGGGCUAAUAGCAGAUGAUGCAGCGGCUCGACAUCGAGACAGUUGUUAAAGCUAUGGCGCCUGAAGAUGAGCCUGCGUCUGAUUAGCUAGUUGGCGGGGUAACGGCCCACCAAGGCAACGAUCAGUAGCUGGUCUGAGAGGACGAUCAGCCACACUGGAACUGAGACACGGUCCAGACUCCUACGGGAGGCAGCAGUAAGGAAUAUUGCUCAAUGGGAGAAAUCCUGAAGCAGCAACGCCGCGUGAGGGACGAAGGGCUUUUGCUUGUAAACCUCUGUAGUGAGAGAAAAAAAUCCCAAUCUUUGGGACAUGAUGGUAUCUCAAAAGUAAGCCCCGGCUAACUACGUG
rnacentral:rRNA from 1 species